rnacentral:rRNA from 1 species
CAGUCGCCACGGGAAUACGUAGGUGGCAAGCGUUGUCCGGAAUUAUUGGGCGUAAAGGGCUCGCAGGCGGUUUCUUAAGUCUGAUGUGAAAGCCCCCGGCUCAACCGGGGAGGGUCAUUGGAAACUGGGAAACUUGAGUGCAGAAGAGGAGAGUGGAAUUCCACGUGUAGCGGUGAAACGCGUAGAGAUGUGGAGGAACACCAGUGGCGAAGGCGACUCUCUGGUCUGUAACUGACGCUGAGGAGCGAAAGCGUGGGGAGCGAACAGGAUUAGAGACCCCCGUAGUCCCUGUCUCUUAUAC